UUCUAACAGGAAUCCUCCAUAUUUGAAAAUAAAAGUUGCAAUUUGCAAGAUCUAAAACUGUGUUUGACAAUGUUUUUAAACGAAUAUGAAAAAUGGCUUUGUCUCUCCUCCAGAUCUCAAGCUGGAAGCACGGAGUGUGAUGGAAGGCUCCAGGAGCUCACUGUUUUUCUCCCCCUCUCUUUCUCCCUCCUCCACCUUCUUUUUAUCUCCCGUG
rnacentral:lncRNA from 1 species